GUCUAUGGCAAUACCACCCUGAAUGUACUCAAUCUUGUCUAAUCUCAGAGUCUGGCCUGGUUGUUAUUUAGAUGAGAGAUCACCUUGGGUACUGAGGGCUGCAGCCU
ensembl:rRNA 5S_rRNA 5S ribosomal RNA